rnacentral:rRNA from 1 species
UACGGAGGGGGCAAGCGUUGUUCGGAUUUACUGGGCGUAAAGGGUGUGUAGGCGGUUGCGCAAGUCUGGUGUGAAAUCUUCACCGCUUAACGGGAAGAGGUCACUGGAAACUGCGUAACUCGAGUAUGGUAGAGGCAAGCGGAAUUCCUGGUGUAGCGGUGGAAUGUGUAGAUAUCAGGAAGAACAUCUGUGGCGAAGGCGGCUUGCUGGGCCAUCACUGACGCUGAGACACGAAAGCGUGGGGAGCAAACGGG